rfam:Homo sapiens chromosome 6, GRCh38 reference primary assembly.
ACCAGGCAUGGUGGUGCAUGCCUGUAAUCCCAGGUAGUCAGGAGGUUGAGGCAGGAGAAUUGCUUGAGCCCAGGAGAUGGAGGUUGCAGUGAGCCGAGAUCACGCCACUGCACUCCAGCCUGGGCAACAGAGUGAGAUUCUGUCUCAA